rnacentral:rRNA from 1 species
AUUGAACGCUGGCGGCAGGCCUAACACAUGCAAGUCGAGCGGAGCGGCGGACGGGUGAGUAAUGCCUAGGAAUCUGCCUGGUAGUGGGGGAUAACGUCCGGAAACGGGCGCUAAUACCGCAUACUAUCAGAUGAGCCUAGGUCGGAUUAGCUAGUUGGUGGGGUAAAGGCCUACCAAGGCGACGAUCCGUAGCUGGUCUGAGAGGAUGACCAGCCACACUGUAAUUGAGACACGGUCCAGACUCAUCCGGGAGGAGGCAGUGGUGAAUAUUGGACAAGGGGCGAAACCCUAAUGCGGACAUGCCGCGUGGAGGAAGAAGUCCUUCGGGUUGUAAAGUACUUUCAGCGGGGAGGCGUUACCCGCAGAAGAAGCACCGGCUAACUCCGUGCCAGCCGCCGCGGUAAUAC